rnacentral:rRNA from 1 species
GCACGUAGUUAGCUGUGGACUUCCUCCUUGGGUACCGUCAUUAUCGUCCCCAAAGACCCAGCUUUACAAUCCGAAGACCUUCAUCACUCACGCGGCGUUGCUGCAUCAGGCUUUCGCCCAUUGUGCAAUAUUCCCCA